rnacentral:rRNA from 1 species
AUUGAACGCUGGCGGCAGGCCUAACACAUGCAAGUCGAGCGGAUGAAGGGAGCUUGCUCCUGGAUUCAGCGGCGGACGGGUGAGUAAUGCCUAGGAAUCUGCCUGGUAGUGGGGGAUAACGUCCGGAAACGGGCGCUAAUACCGCAUACGUCCUGAGGGAGAAAGUGGGGGAUCUUCGGACCUCACGCUAUCCGAUGAGCCUAGGUCGGAUUAGCUAGUUGGUGGGGUAAAGGCCUACCAAGGCGACGAUCCGUAACUGGUCUGAGAGGAUGAUCAGUCACACUGGAGCUGAGACACGGUCCAGACUCCUACGGGAGGCAGCAGUGGGGAAUAUUGGACAAUGGGCGAAAGCCUGAUCCAGCCAUGCCGCGUGUGUGAAGAAGGUCUUCGGAUUGUAAAGCACUUUAAGUUGGGAGGAAGGGCAGUAAGUUAAUACCUUGCUGUUUUGACGUUACCAACAGAAUAAGCACCGGCUAACUUCGUG